UCUUCUCAUACAUUCAUUUUCCCUUCUUGUUGGGAUUGGGUUCAACUUCCACAGCGGCCGAAUCAUCUGUUUCACUAUCUUCAUCUUCUACCUUGCUGUCUGAAAUUUUGUCAUCAUCCUUCUCUUCAGAGUCGACAACUACACUGUCAUCGUUCUUCGCCAUGAGCAAGCUUGUUAGCGCUCCAGUUGAGGCCGCCUCGCCUCCAUGCUCUUCAAAAGCUCCCCUGUGUCUGCCAUGGCUUUAGAAUCAUACUCACUGCAAUCAAGGAUUAAUGUUUGGAGUUAAACAAUAACAGAGAGUUCAAGUUUGAUGGUACGUAACUAACAAUAAUGAAGUAAAAUUAAUAGCUUUUGAAGAAAAAAUCAUAUAAACAGAACAAUAGACACAUGUUUUUUCGAAACAGAAACAAUAGACACAUGCUUCAGAGAUUGAAAUUUAGUCCUACAGAAAUUAUAUUAAUGGAUCUCACAUAUUCUCAUGUCAUCUUGAAAAUUGAAUUUAUUUGAUUCUGAUAGAAAAUCUAUAACAAAACUCAAAAUGGCUCAAUAGGAGCUUUACAGUUACUCCAGUAGGCCAAUCUAAGCUCAAGCUUGGAUUCAACUUAGCUAUUCAAUUAGCCAUUCAUUUAUGAAGCUUAUAUGCCCCUCCAAAUCCACCUGAAAAGUAGACAAUCUUCAUCAACACAUGUUUCUUUCUUGUCUUCAUCAUUUGUCUUCUUUAAUAAUUACACCAUGAAAACAUAUAUAUUGAUACAACUUAUUUAACCCCCAACACCAUUUCAUCAAAUUCAAGCUAGUAUGCCUCAACAUUCAAACACAAGAAAUAAGCAUUCAAGAAAUGGAAAAAGUUGUCUACCUCUUUUUCUU
rnacentral:lncRNA from 1 species